rnacentral:rRNA from 1 species
CAAUAGCGUAUAUUUAAGUUGUUGCAGUUAAAAAGCUCGUAGUCGGAUUUUGGCUGAGAACGAUCGGUCCGCCGUUAGGUGUGCACUGAUUGGUCUCAGCUUCCUGGUGAGGAGGUGUGCUUCACGGCCACUUAGUCACCGUGGUUACUUUGAAAAAAUUAGAGUGUUCAAAGCGGGCUUACGCUUGAAUAUAUUAGCAUGGAAUAACACCAUAGGACUCCUGUCCUAUUUCGUUGGUCACGGGACGGGAGUAAUGAUUAAGAGGAACAGUUGGGGGCACUCGUAUUUCAUUGUCAGAGGUGAAAUUCUUGGAUUUAUGAAAGACGAACUUCUGCGAAAGCAUUUGCCAAGGAUGUUUUCAUUGA